CCGGGGGGAGGGGCGCUAGCCCAGCCAGUUGGCUCGGAAAGCUCCAGCUCGUACUCUGAAGGAAUCCCGUACUGAAUCCUAAUCAAUAAGAGUUCGUCCGAAGUCAGAGAACUGGGAAUGGUGUCUGGUACAAAGAUCGAACGAGGUCCAUCUACAGAACUAAGAUUUUGGGGGGCUGGAACAGACGAACUCCUAGAACUACUAGAGGAGGA
rnacentral:lncRNA from 1 species